GGUGAAAUUAGCUCAGCUGGUUAGAGCGUCGGAUUGUGGUUCCGAAGGUCGUGGGUUCGAACCCCACACUUCACCC
rnacentral:tRNA from 2 species